rnacentral:rRNA from 1 species
CCAGACUCCUACGGGAGGCAGCAGUGGGGAAUAUUGCACAAUGGGGGAAACCCUGAUGCAGCGACGCCGCGUGAGUGAAGAAGUAUUUCGGUAUGUAAAGCUCUAUCAGCAGGGAAGAAAAUGACGGUACCUGACUAAGAAGCCCCGGCUAACUACGUGCCAGCAGCCGCGGUAAUACGUAGGUGGCAAGCGUUAUCCGGAUUUACUGGGUGUAAAGGGCGUGUAGGCGGGAAAGCAAGUCAGAUGUGAAAGCCCGGGGCUCAACCCCGGGACUGCAUUUGAAACUGUCAGGCUGGAGUGCAGGAGAGGUAAGUGGAAUUCCUAGUGUAGCGGUGAAAUGCGUAGAUAUUAGGAGGAACACCAGUGGCGAAGGCGGCCUGCUGGACGACAACUGACGGUGAGGCGCGAAAGCGUGGGGAGCAAACAGGAUUAGAUACCCCAGUA